rnacentral:lncRNA from 1 species
GUAGGUAGCCUAGUGGUUAGAGUGUAGGGGAGGCAGGUAGCCUAGUGGUUAGAGUGUAGAGGAGGCAGGUAGCCUAGUGGUUAGAGUGUAGAGGAGGCAGGUAACCUAGUGGUUAGAGUGUAGAGGCGGCAGGUAGCCUAGUGGUUAGAGUGUAGGGGAGGCAGGUAGCCUAGUGGUUAGAGUGUAGAGGCGGCAGGUAGCCUAGUGGUUAGAGUGUGGUGGUGGCAGGUAGCCUAGUGGUUAGAGUGUAGAGGAGGCAGGUAGCCUAGUGGUUAGAGUGUAGAGGAGGCAGGUAGCCUAGUGGUUAGAGUGUAGGGGAGGCAGGUAGCCUAGUGGUUAGAGUGUAGAGGCGGCAGGUAGCCUAGUGGUUAGAGUGUAGUGGUGGCAGGUAGCCUAGUGGUUAGAGAGUAGAGGUGGCAGGUAGCCUAGUGGUUAGAGUGUAGAGGUGGCAGGUAGCCUAGUGGUUAGAGUGUAGAGGUGGCAGGUAGCCUAGUGGUUAGAGUGUAGAGGUGGCAGGUAGCCUAGUGGUUAGAGUGUAGAGGUGGCAGGUAGCCUAGUGGUUAGAGUGUAGAGGAGGCAGGUAGCCUAGUGGUUAGAGUGUAGAGGAGGCAGGUAGCCUAGUGGUUAGAGUGUAGGGGAGGCAGGUAGCCUAGUGGUUAGAGUGUAGAGGAGGCAGGUAGCCUAGUGGUUAGAGUGUAGAGGAGGCAGGUAGCCUAGUGGUUAGAGUGUAGGGGCGGCAGGUAGCCUAGCGGUUAGAGUGUAGGGGCGGCAGGUAGCCUAGUGGUUAGAGGUAGUAGAGGUACUAGAGGUACAGGAGGAAGUAGAGGUACUACAGGAGGAUGUAGAGGUACUACAGGAGGUACUACAGGGGGUAGUAGAGGUACUACAGGAGGUACUACAGGGGGUAGUAGAGGUACUACAGGAGGAAGUAGAGGUACUACAGGGGGUAGUAGAGGUACUACAGGAGGUACUAGAGGAGGAAGUAGAGGUACUAGAGGAGGAAGUAGAGGUACUACAGGGGGUAGUAGAGGUACUACAGGAGGUACUAGAGGAGGAAGUAGAGGUACUAGAGGAGGAAGUAGAGGUACUAGAGGAGGAAGUAGAGGUACUAGAGGAGGUACUAGAGGAGGAAGUAGAGGUACUACAGGAGGUACUAGAGGAGGAAGUAGAGGUACUACUGGAGGUACUAGAGGAGGAGGUAGAGGUACUACAGGAGGUAGUAGAGGUACUAGAGGAGGUAGUAGAGGUACUACAGGAGGUAGUAGAGGUACUAGAGGAGGUACUACAGGAGGUACUAGAGGAGGAAGUAGAGGUACUAGAGGAGGAAGUAGAGGUACUAGAGGAGGUAGUAGAGGUACUAGAGGAGGAAGUAGAGGUACUAGAGGAGGUAGUAGAGGUACUAGAGGAGAAAGUAGAGGUACUAGAGGAGGAGGUAGAGGAGGUAGUAGAGGUACUAGAGGAGGAAGUAGAGGUACUAGAGGAGGAAGUAGAGGUACUAGAGAGACUAGAGAAGAAAUAAGAGCUGAGACCAUUUUCUUCUAGUUGACCUAUGAUCACCUGGGUUACACCAAGAAAACCAUGACAAACCAUUUACCAUGGUCAAGAUAAGGUCUGGGUUGGGUUUAAGAUUUUGGUAAGGGACAAUUAGAUAUAUUAUAACAAAAAGGCAGUGGGUCAUCUCCCCUCUUACCUUCUCAUAGUACUGGAUGUUGUGGUC